rnacentral:rRNA from 1 species
CCUACGGGAGGCAGCAGUCGAGAAUCAUUCACAAUGGGGGAAACCCUGAUGGUGCGACGCCGCGUGGGGGAAUGAAGGUCUUCGGAUUGUAAACCCCUGUCAUGUGGGAGCAAAUUAAAAAGAUAGUACCACAAGAGGAAGAGACGGCUAACUCUGUGCCAGCAGCCGCGGUAAUACAGAGGUCUCAAGCGUUGUUCGGAAUCACUGGGCGUAAGGCGUGCGUAGGCUGUAUCGUAAGUCGUGUGUGAAAGGCGCGGGCUCAACCCGCGGACGGCACAUGAUACUGCGAGACUAGAGUAAUGGAGGGGGAACCGGAAUUCUCGGUGUAGCAGUGAAAUGCGUAGAUAUCGAGAGGAACACUCGUGGCGAAGGCGGGUUCCUGGACAUUAACUGACGCUGAGGCACGAAGGCCAGGGGAGCGAAAGGGAUUAGAUACCCUUGUAGUC